rnacentral:lncRNA from 1 species
UUCUUGCUUCAUUAACUUCCUAAACUAUAGGAUCUUCAAGGGCUGUCUCCUCAAGCAUUUAGCGCGUCCUUCCUGAUGACAUGUAUAUUCCUGCUCUAGCUCUAAGAAGCGUGACCACUCCAAGCGCUUCAGUUUUUUUUUUUUGGUAAGAUGGAUUUCCAGGGUCUUAGUUUAUUAACGUUGCAGAAUUAUUUCCUUAGCUAAUGAGAAAAGAAAUCCUAUAAUUCCUUCCUUAAUGGCACAGUUCUUCCUGAACCGACCCUAAAGUUUCCACAGCACAUGCCAAGGACAUUAAUUUGUUUAAGCUCAAGGCCAAGGUUAAGACUUCAAAGGAAAUCAGUCUGUCCCUACCCCAGAUGGGUUAAAAAUCAAUAUAAGAUAAUUAAGGAAUCACAUGAUUAUUCACUCUAGGCCUGAUCAAGGUAAAAGCUUGUGUAUGACUUUAUAAAAUAUUCAGACAUAUUUAAAACUCUUCUUCCUGUCCUCAUAACCAUGGUGUUACUUAUUCUCAUUUCAAGUUCAGCACAUACUUUAUGAAGAAACUCUACACACAAUUAUAGAUAAAGGCGCUGAGCAAGAAAGGAGGGUGCUGGGGAGGAGCCCUUCAGCCAAACGAUAAAAAAAAAAAGUUUCCUUCUGUUCCCUGCCAGCCACCACACCUUUAUGCUACUAUGGUCUUCUCUAAGCUACUCAUUAUUUAUUGUUCUUUAGGGAAAAAGCAGCAUCUGGCAUGAUAGUUUAGAUUUUGGGCUCCUCAGAAAACAAGUCUCUAGUAGUACAGUUUGGGUAUGCGUGUUUGAGUAUGUUGGGAGAGUGGAGUUGUUCUUCAGAGUAGUUAGCUAUACAGCUCUGAGUGGAACAAAUGAGGGAUCUUCAUGCCUGUAAACGCAAUGAUGGUCCAAGGCAUUUCACUUUUUAAUUGGCUCUAUAAAACAUUGGGGAUAUGAGAAGUGAAAAUGUCUAGAGAUCCCUCUCAGAAAUCCAGACUUCCUCUUAUUAGGUCUCUAAGUAUAGACAUCAGAUUGGGAGAGUGAGAAGGCAACGAACUACAGAACUAUGAAGUCUAAAGACUGCUUUCUAUAGAAACACCAGACCUUGGAUGUUUUGUAGAAAAAGUGAAUUUCCCUACAUCAACUUAAGCUUCAAAGACCAAAAAUGCUUUGAAGAACUGGAUACAUAUAAAAUCUAAAUAUUUUCUAUUUAGAUAGCCAAUAUAAAUCAAAGUUAACGGUGGCCUAGGAAUCAAGUUCAUGUAGUACAGGAUCAGUAGAAGAAGUUAAGGCAGGCAGGAGUCAGUGUGACUCAGUACUACCAUCUUGUUUCCACUCAUCAACUUUCUUGGGACCCUCUGCCAGAUUCUGACCUUUGAUAACUUAAUAAAGGAUGCAAGCAGAUGUAAAUACUGACAGAAAAAUACCACUAAGGAAGAUUCAAAAGGCCCCACCUUCUUUAAAGAGAACUGUGAAACCAGUAGGCCUUCUAGGAUGAGUGCAGAAAACAAGAGAAAACACAGAAGGGUAAGAAAUGUCAGCCUCUUGGUGCACCUGGGUGGCUCAGUCAGUCGAGAGUCGGACUUCGACUCAGGCGAGGAUUUCAUCAUUCAAGAGUAUGAGCCCCACAGCGGGGCUCGCUGCCCGUCCCGCUUUGGAGGCCCCUCUCUGCCCCUCCCCUGCACUCGUGCUCUGAGAGAAAGAAAGAGAAAGAAAGAAAGAAAGAAAGAAAGAAAGAAAGAAAGAAAGAAAGAAAGAAAGAAAGAAAGAAAGAAAGAAAGAAAGAGAAAGGAAAUAAAAAAGAAUGAAUGAAUGUCAGCCUCUUAAAGAGUCUUCGUGCUAACUGGAAGAUGCCCCAGAGCAAAAGGAAAUGAGCCAGGAAGACAGAUACUUGUCCUCUGCUCUAACCAGAGUCUAGUGCAUCUCUACUCUGUCCCUCUCCCUUCAUAUACUUCUUCUGGUGUUGUAAGAGAGCUUCUGUCUGGCUCUGAUCAAUAAGGACAAGAAAGGGGCGCCUGGGUGGCUCAGUCGGUUAAGCGGCUGACUUCGGCUCAGGUCAUUAUCUCGCGGUCCGUGAGUUUGAGCCCUGCGUCGGGCUCUGUGCUGACAGCUCAGAGCCUGGAGCCUGUUUCAGAUUCUGUGUCUCACUUUCUCUGACCCUCCCCUGUUCAUGCUGUCUCUCCCUGUUUCAAAAAUAAAUAAAAAAAGUUAAAAAAAAAUUAAAAAAAAAUAAUAAGGACAAGAAAGAGCACAAGAGGUAAGCAGAGUAAAACACUGCACUGGGCCAAGAGGAGCCUUUGCAGUGAUGCUGUCAGAUAUCACCAUAGUGCCCAGUUUUGAUAAAUGGGGUGUUAAGAGGCAUCUAACAGUUACUCAAUGUUGAAACCAUAACAGACACUGCUCCCAAUCUGCAAAUAAGACUAGGACUGCUGAAUGGUGAACACAGCACAACAGUUACUUUUUAGGGCGAACAUACUUGUGAACCAGUCUCAGCAGGGCUGCUAAGGAAAGUGAGAGGACACCAGAUGAAGAAGUUUCUUGAUGCUGGAGUGUUAGGUUUCCUUUUGUUAUUUGGAGACUGCACUGAAGCGAUAAGGCCAGAUCAAAUCUCCCUCCCAAUGUAGCCCCCUCCCUUGAAAAACGGUCAAAAACCUCAAUGCAGGUAACAAACAGCUCCCUCUCCUUAUCAAAUAUUCCACUGUCCUUGACCCUGCUGUUUGGUGAUAACCUACGUGACAGAUGGCUUGCUCCCAUGAUAGUUCAGAGCUCCUUCCUGACUAAAUGAGAGGAACUACACAGGAGAGACUUGGUGAGGCAAAGAAGCCAUUCCUAUUUACCAUACAAUAGUUCUCUAACCAACAAAAUUUAAAGGGAGGAGUGUUGCCUUCGCAAAGCCAGGACCAUGUAUGCUUUCUAAAUACUGAGGAUUAAUGUUUCUCAAGGUCCAAACAGCUUAAACACUUGUGUUUAAGAAAUGGAUCUCUUAAAAGUUGGUUUAUUUCUUCAAGUAUCAUCUAUUUUGUUUCUUCCCUCUUGUGGCACUUACUCGUGGACUGGCCACACACAAAAAAGAUGGCAGUUCAGUGAGCAGGCAGCAACGAAGUGAGGAGGUAGCUGAUCUCCGCUGAUGGAUGACCUGGUCUGAGUAGCCACUUACUGCUUUGCAGUGGCUGCUGAAAACCAGAGACUACAAAACAAAAAUGCAAAUUAGUACCAUAAUGCAAAUUAUGUUUAAUGUAAGCAAAACGGAAAAAAAUGUCACAUAUUAAACAUCUGACUUAAAAGACAUUCUUCUAGUAAACAUUAUGAAUCCUAAUAAACAACCAGUAUUUAGAACCAAAUGUAUA